GAUUAACGCUGGCGGCGUGCAUAACACAUUCAAGUCGAACGGUGACGGGGCUUCGGCCCCUGAUCAGUGGCGGACGGGUGGGUAACGCGUGAGCAACCUGCCCUUGUGUGGGGGAUAACGUUUGGAAACGGACGCUAAUACCGCAUAACCCAAUAGUACGGCAUCGUACAGUUGGCAAAGAUUUAUUGCACAAGGAUGGGCUCGCGUCUGAUUAGGUAGUUGGUGGGGUAACGGCCUACCAAGCCCGCGAUCAGUAGCCGGACUGAGAGGUUGAACGGCCACAUUGGAACAGAGAUACGGUCCAGACUCCUACGGGAGGCAGCAGUGGGGAAUAUUGGGCAAUGGGGGAAACCCUGACCCAGCGACGCCGCGUGAGGGAAGAAGGUCUUCGGAUUGUAAACCUUAAACAACAGGGACGAAACAAAUGACGGUACCUGUUAGGAAGCCACGGCUAACUACGUGCCAGCCGCCGCGGUAAGAC
rnacentral:rRNA from 1 species